UUGGAAUCAGUGGGUCUCAGUUCUCCUGGCAUGAGUACAUCAAUAUUCCAUAUUAUGGCCUGAUGGCUUUGCAGCAUAAUGAAUUUUUGGGGCAAGACUUCUGUCCAGGACUCAGUGACUCUGAAGACAGUGGCUGUCCCAACUAUGUAAUAUGUUCUGGUGAAGAAUUCUUGACAAUUCAGCGUGCUGAUCUCUCACCUUGGGGCUUGUGGAAGAAUCAUGUGGUAUUGG